rnacentral:tRNA from 1 species
GGCCCCUUCGUCUAGCGGCCUAGGACGUCUGGUUUUCAGCCAGAAAAUCACCGGUUCGAAUCCGGUAGGGGCUACAA